UGGAAAGAAUUGAAUUAUCAAACCUAGUUUCGACCUAGCAAUUGGACAAAAGUCCCUUUCCUU
rnacentral:tRNA from 1 species